GAUGAACGCUGGCGGCGUGCCUAAUACAUGCAAGUCGAGCGAACGGACGAUAAGCUUGCUUUUCUGAUGUUAGCGGCGGACGGGUGAGUAACACGUGUAUAACCUACCUAUAAUACUGGUAUAACUUCGGGAAACCGGAGCUAAUACCGGAUAAUAUUUUGAACCGCAUGGUUCAAAAGUGAAAGACGGUCUUGCUGUCUCUUAUAGAUGUAUCGAGGCUUCAUUAUCUAGUUGUUAAGUUAACGGCUUAUCAAGGCAACGAUGCAUAGCCGACCUGACAGGGGGAUAGGCGACAAUGGAACUGGGACAGGGUCAAGAGUCCUACGGGAGGGAGCAGAAGGGAAUGUUCCGCAAUGGGCGAAAGCAUGACGGAGCAACGCCGAGUGAGAGAUGAAGGUGUUGGGAUCGUAAAACUCUGUUAUUAGGGAAAAACAUAUGUGUAAGUAAAUGUGCAGAGCUUGACGGUAACUAAUCAGAAAGCCACGGCUAACUACGUG
rnacentral:rRNA from 1 species